rnacentral:misc_RNA from 1 species
CUGGGGAGCAUAAUCUCGUUGCAUGGGCAAGGCCAUUGUUCAAAGAUCGAAGGAAGUUUUCACAGAUGGCUGACCCAUUAUUACAAGGUCAAUAUCCAGUGAGGGGCUUGUACCAAGCUCUUGCUGUUGCUGCAAUGUGUGUUCAGGAACAGCCUAAUAUGCGACCCCUUAUAGCUGACGUAGUCACAGCCCUUACUUAUCUUGCUUCCCAAAUGUACGAUCCUGAGACACAACCAGUCCAAGCCUAUCGUCCAGGCUCAUCCACUCCUAGAAU